UGCAAGCAACUUAAAGGGUCCCAUACCUUUUCUGCCUUGGAUGGUGCCCUAAAGGACAUUCACACAGAAUUCACUAUCAGAGAGAAGAUCCUUCGCACUACAACUGACAACGGAUCAAACUUCUUGAAAGCCCUCAGAGUUUACGGGCAGACUGACGAGAACAACAAUCCUGAACCUGUAGGAGAGUGUGAUGGAGGAGGGGAUGGUGGUGGCCAAAAUGAUGAUUACGAUGAAGAAGAGGAAAGUGUUGAGAGUGUUGAAGUUGUUGAUGCCGGAGCCCUGUUGGACGAAGAUGACUACUUGGAAUACCAGCUACCCAAGCACCAUCGCUGCACCUGCCACCUCCUCGAUUUAGUGUCCACAGUUGAUGCUUCAGAAGCAGAGGUCAGCCCAUUGUACAAGCAUGUGUCAAGGUCCACAUUUGCCAAAUGCUCUAGCCUGUGGAACAAAAGUUCAAGAUCAACCACUGCAUCUGAAGUAAUUGAAGACCACUGCAAACUCCAACUCGUAAGGCCUGUUGCUACAAGGUGGAAUUAACUCAGCCGUAGAGAGAAUAGUGAGAAUAACAAGAGAACAAGGCGAAGGAGCCCUUGCAGCUGUCUGCAGUGAACUAGAUACACCUAAGUUUACUCCAUUGAAACUGGCAUUUCUUGCCAAGUAUGCAAAGACAAUGAGCCCAGUUGCAAAGGCACUUGAUGUUCUUCAGGGAGACAUCAGUGUGCAGAUGGGAUGGUUGCUCCCCACCAUAACUCUACUAAGGACCAAUCUCAGGCACCUUCACAUCGCCUCCUUCGAUUGCUGCACUUCUUUCAGGCCUUGAAAAACACUUGCAGAUCCAGAGCUGAUGGCUGCAGCCAUUCUAGCUCCCAAAUUUAGGACCUGCUGGACAAGUGACAAAAAUAUCCUCAAACUUGGCCUUGACUAUAUCAGAAGCCACUUGGACUGUCAGGCCGAGAAUCACACCAGUGAGGGCUCCCAAUCAUCUGAGGAAGAGGACUUUUUUUUUCCUUCUUGAAGAAGACCGGCCCUCUUGAAACGGC